CGUUACGCGCGACUAGAAUUAUGGUCCACUAGUUUAUUCGUAAAUGUGAGUAACGACACCGGGACAUUUUAAUUGAUAUUAGAACGAGAAGGAGAGGUGCAGUGUGCACGCACAAGGAAACAAAUGACGGGAGGGGGGAGAAAAGGAGAAGGAGUGUAUGUAUUUGCACCGCGGAAUAAAACAGGUUCGAUUAUACCAGC
rnacentral:lncRNA from 1 species